rnacentral:rRNA from 1 species
UGGGGAAUAUUGCGCAAUGGGCGAAAGCCUGACGCAGCGACGCCUCGUGAGGGAUGAAGGUCUUCGGAUCGUAAACCUCUGUCAAGAGGGAAGAAACCCUUAGGUUCGAAUAGGGCCUUUGGCUGACGGUACCUCAAAAGGAAGCACCGGCUAACUCCGUGCCAGCAGCCGCGGUAAUACGGAGGGUGCAAGCGUUAAUCGGAAUCACUGGGCGUAAAGCGCACGUAGGCGGUGCGGUCAGUCAGACGUGAAAGCCCACGGCUUAACCGUGGAACUGCGUUUGAUACUGCCGGACUUGAGUGUCGGAGAGGGUGGCGGAAUUCCGGGUGUAGGAGUGAAAUCCGUAGAUAUCCGGAGGAACACCAGUGGCGAAGGCGGCCACCUGGACGACAACUGACGCUGAGGUGCGAAAGCGUGGGGAGCAAACA